rnacentral:rRNA from 1 species
GAUGAACGCUAGCUACCGGUUUAACACAUGCAAGUCGAGGGGCAGCGGGAUUGAAGCUUGCUUCAAUUGCCGGCGACCGGCGCACGGGUGAGUAACGCGUAUCCAACCUUCCGCUUACUCGGGGAUAGCCUUUCGAAAGAAAGAUUAAUACCCGAUGGUAUCUUAAGCACGCAUGAGAUUAAGAUUAAAGAUUUAUCGGUAAGCGAUGGGGAUGCGUUCCAUUAGGCAGUUGGCGGGGUAACGGCCCACCAAACCUACGAUGGAUAGGGGUUCUGAGAGGAAGGUCCCCCACAUUGGAACUGAGACACGGUCCAAACUCCUACGGGAGGCAGCAGUGAGGAAUAUUGGUCAAUGGGCGAGAGCCUGAACCAGCCAAGUAGCGUGAAGGAUGACGGCCCUACGGGUUGUAAACUUCUUUUGUGCGGGAAUAAAGGAACCUACGUGUAGGUUUUUGCAUGUACCGUAACGAAUAAGCAUCGGCUAACUCCGUGCCAGCAGCCGCGGUAAUACGGAGGAUGCGAGCGUUAUCCGGAUUUAUUGGGUUUAAAGGGAGCGUAGACGGGUUUUUAAGUCAGCUGUGAAAGUUUGGGGCUCAACCUUAAAAUUGCAGUUGAAACUGGAGACCUUGAGUACGGUUGAGGCAGGCGGAAUUCGUGGUGUAGCGGUGAAAUGCUUAGAUAUCACGAAGAACCCCGAUUGCGAAGGCAGCCUGCUAAGCCGCCACUGACGUUGAGGCUCGAAAGUGCGGGUAUCAAACAGGAUUAGAUAU